rnacentral:rRNA from 1 species
GAGUUUGAUCGUGGCUCAGAUUGAACGCUGGCGGCAGGCCUAACACAUGCAAGUCGAGCGGAUGAAGGGAGCUUGCUCCUGGAUUCAGCGGCGGACGGGUGAGUAAUGCCUAGGAAUCUGCCUGGGUAGUGGGGGAUAACGUCCGGAAACGGGCGCUAAUACCGCAUACGUCCUGAGGGAGAAAGUGGGGGAUCUUCGGACCUCACGCUAUCAGAUGAGCCUAGGUCGGAUUAGCUAGUUGGUGGGUAAAGGCCUACCAAGGCGACGAUCCGUAACUGGUCUGAGAGGAUGAUCAGUCACACUGGAACUGAGACACGGUCCAGACUCCUACGGGAGGCAGCAGUGGGGAAUAUUGGACAAUGGGCGAAAGCCUGAUCCAGCCAUGCCGCGUGUGUGAGAAGGUCUUCGGAUUGUAAAGCACUUUAAGUUGGAGGAGGCAGUAGUAUA